GAUUGAACGCUGGCGGCAGGCCUAACACAUGCAAGUCGAACGGCAGCGGGGGGUAGCUUGCUACCCCGCCGGCGAGUGGCGGACGGGUGAGUAAUGCCUGGGGAGCUGCCCAAUUGAGGGGGAUACCAGUUGGAAACGACUGCUAAUACCGCAUGCGCCCUGAGGGGGAAAGGUGGGGAUCUUCGGACCUACCGCGAUUGGAUGCACCCAGGUGGGAUUAGCUAGUUGGUGAGGUAACGGCUCACCAAGGCGACGAUCUCUAGCUGGUCUGAGAGGAUGACCAGCCACACUGGAACUGAGACACGGUCCAGACUCCUACGGGAGGCAGCAGUGGGGAAUAUUGCACAAUGGGGGAAACCCUGAUGCAGCCAUGCCGCGUGUGUGAAGAAGGCCUGGUGUAAG
rnacentral:rRNA from 1 species